rnacentral:rRNA from 1 species
GUGGGGAAUAUUGGACAAUGGGGGGAACCCUGAUCCAGCCAUGCCGCGUGUGUGAAGAAGGUCUUCGGAUUGUAAAGCACUUUAAGUUGGGAGGAAGGGCAGUAAGUUAAUACCUUGCUGUUUUGACGUUACCGACAGAAUAAGCACCGGCUAACUUCGUGCCAGCAGCCGCGGUAAUACGAAGGGUGCAAGCGUUAAUCGGAAUUACUGGGCGUAAAGCGCGCGUAGGUGGUUUUGUAAGUUGGAGGUGAAAUCCCCGGGCUCAACCUGGGAACUGCCUCCAAAACUGCAUGACUAGAGUACGGUAGAGGGUAGUGGAAUUUCCUGUGUAGCGGUGAAAUGCGUAGAUAUAGGAAGGAACACCAGUGGCGAAGGCGACUACCUGGACUGAUACUGACACUGAGGUGCGAAAGCGUGGGGAGCAAACAGGAUUAGAAACCCCAGUAGUCC